rnacentral:rRNA from 1 species
AUGAACGCUGGCGGCGUGCCUAAUACCUGCAAGUCGAGCGAACAGACGAGGAGCUUGCUCCUUUGACGUUAGCGGCGGCCGGGUGAGUAACACGUGGGUAACCUACCUAUAAGACUGGGAUAACUUCGGGAAACCGGAGCUAAUACCGGAUAAUAUUUCGAACCGCAUGGUUCGAUAGUGAAAGAUGGCUUUGCUAUCACUUAUAGAUGGACCUGCGCCGUAUUAGCUAGUUGGUAAGGUAACGGCUUACCAAGGCAACGAUACGUAGCCGACCUGAGAGGGUGAUCGGCCACACUGGAACUGAGACACGGUCCAGACUCCUACGGGAGGCAGCAGUAGGGAAUCUUCCGCAAAGGGCGAAAGCCUGACGGAGCAACGCCGCGUGAGUGAUGAAGGUCUUCGGAUCGUAAAACUCUGUUAUUAGGGAAGAACAAACGUGUAAGUAACUGUGCACGUCUUGACGGUACCUAAUCAGAAAGCCACGGCUAACUACGUG